rnacentral:rRNA from 1 species
AGGACGAACGCUGGCGGCGUGCUUAACACAUGCAAGUCGAGCGGUAAGGCCCUUUGGGGUACACGAGCGGCGAACGGGUGAGUAACACGUGGGUGACCUGCCCCCUACUCUGGGAUAAGCCUGGGAAACUGGGUCUAAUACCGGAUAUGACUACAUGUCGCAUGGUGUGUGGUGGAAAGUUUUUUUCGGUGGGGAUGGGCCCGCGGCCUAUCAGCUUGUUGGUGGGGUGAUGGCCUACCAAGGCGACGACGGGUA